rnacentral:rRNA from 1 species
CACGUAGGGGGCAAGCGUUGUCCGGAAUCAUUGGGCGUAAAGAGCGUGUAGGCGGCCUGGUAAGUCCGCUGUGAAAGUCCAGGGCUCAACCCUGGAAUGCCGGUGGAAACUGUCAGGCUCGAGUCCGGAAGAGGCGAGUGGAAUUCCUGGUGUAGCGGUGAAAUGCGCAGAUAUCAGGAGGAACACCAAUGGCGAAGGCGGCUCGCUGGGACGGUACUGACGCUGAGACGCGAAAGCGUGGGGAGCAAACAGG